rnacentral:sRNA from 1 species
CAUAGUAAAGGGGGUGAUGCUAAUGAUGACAACUUUUCAAACACUAACCUUAAUGAUCGCAUUUGCGGGUUUGAUUGUGUCAAUCAUUUCUUUUAAAAACAAAAAGUAAUCCACCCUUGGAGAUUUUUCCAGCUACUUAGGGUGGAUUACUUACCUAAUAUGCUGAUACCCUUGUGGGACCAACUAUUGCGUUGACCGUAGGUGUUCACAGCACCU